GGCGAGACGGGCAAAAGUACUUUCGCAAAGCAAAUGCGAAUCAUUUAUGGUGAAGAUUAUGAUAAAAAAGAUUUACUAGAAUUCCGGGAUCUUAUCUACACGAACGUGUUCAAAGCUAUCCAAGUGCUCUGUGAUGCCAGACAGAAGCUACGUAUUCCGUGGGGAAACGAGAGUUACGAGACGAAAGCGCAAGAGUUAUUACAGUGGAAAGUUCCACGUCGCGUCGACCAGAGCGUAUUCGUACAGAAGGUGGAACUGCUGACUAAACUAUGGAAUGAUAAGGGGAUACAAACUGCCUACAGUCGCAAACGAGAAUAUCAGCUG
rnacentral:lncRNA from 1 species